CGAAACUUCGACAAACCUGAAAUCAUACGAGGUGCCAUCUUGAAAAUAUGUUUAAUUUGCUGUGGGUUCGCGGAGAAAGUUUUUAGCUUUUCAUUUAAAUAAAUAACCGAAAUAAUCAAUCCCGUUCGAGCGCAGCUUAAUAUUUAGUGGCAAAAACAUGAGGGGUAAUGAAUGCUUAUUUAUUUCAACUACAGCCGGAGUGGCCAGUCAACACAAAAGUCCCCAUUUCAUCGAGACCUUCCAUAGCUGCACGUCGUCAACUACGCAGUCUGAAAAUCAUCUUCCCAUCCGAUCGAUCCACCUUGUUGCGUACCUCGAUUAUUGCAUCUGUCAAAUCACAGACAGGCUUGUGCAGUUCCGAAUUGCGGAACAACUGAUAGAAUCCACUGGCAUCGGUAAGAAACCUAUCCCCGCUUGUUCAACUAUACGAGAAAGAGCCAACAUGAUCAACUUGAAUACCGGAAAUUCCUAGUAAUUUGCAACGGCAUAUACGACAAGUGGCUUUGCCGGUUCCAAUUUCCGAUGAUUACCUGCUUCGACCAGCACGGCCGUCACGUAGAAACGGGAUCGCGUCUUGACCAAGAUGUAUCCAAAGAAGGCGAUGGCUAACCGGUGGAAACGCGGCCUAGAGUAUCGAACAUUCUUCGAUUGGUUCACCAACAAUAAUGAUACGAUCAAGGAUGACAUUGCCGAACUUAUCAAGGACGAUUCGUGGUCAAAUCUGCUCCAGUACAAUCUGCUGCCGGACAUCGAAAUGGAAUCGGAAGCGAAAGAGGACGGUGGUGAAGAAGAUUUCGGUGACGAUGGCGAGGGCAAGGAAGAAGAGCGCGAGAUCGAAGAUGAGGAAGAGAUAGCCUAAGAAGUAGGUUAAUUUUGUGAUAAUUAAAAUCAUUAUGGAUCAACAGUUUAUACUAGUUAAGCUGUCAACGUGGCAUCUGAUGUCUUUCUAGAUCACCGAUUUAUGUGUCGGCUACUCAGAAGAAACCCUGUCUAGACUAGACUGCCGGUGUAUAGGAACUUGUCUGUGAAAUGUGAACUGAAACCUGCGGUGGAACUUUAUUCAGCUAUGUGCAUGAUGGACGCUUACAAUAAAGUAAAGCUGCUAAAAGUACUAAUCUGCUGAAAAGUAUCAUGAAAUAACUAAAAUAACCCUAUAUAGAUUGAGAUAAAAUAAAUUUUUUUUUCGAAUCCUGUGAAAAAAAUUGAAAUAUGUAUAUUAAAAUUUGAAUAAUAAAAAAAAUCAAUAUUUAAAAACUGAAAACAG